GGCUCAGAUUGAACGCUGGCGGCAGGCCUAACACAUGCAAGUCGAGCGGUAGAGAGAAGCUUGCUUCUCUUGAGAGCGGCGGACGGGUGAGUAAUGCCUAGGAAUCUGCCUGGUAGUGGGGGAUAACGUUCGGAAACGGACGCUAAUACCGCAUACGUCCUACGGGAGAAAGCAGGGGACCUUCGGGCCUUGCGCUAUCAGAUGAGCCUAGGUCGGAUUAGCUAGUUGGUGAGGUAAUGGCUCACCAAGGCGACGAUCCGUAACUGGUCUGAGAGGAUGAUCAGUCACACUGGAACUGAGACACGGUCCAGACUCCUACGGGAGGCAGCAGUGGGGAAUAUUGCACCAUGGGCGAAAGCCUGAUCCAGCCAUGCCGCGUGUGUGAAGAAGGUCUUCCGACAGAAUAAUAAAAAUCGUAGAAUCUGAACUCCGCUCUCNGUCGACUU
rnacentral:rRNA from 1 species